GACGAACGCUGGCGGCGUGCCUAAUACAUGCAAGUAGAACGCACAGUUUAUACCGUAGCUUGCUACACCAUAGACUGUGAGUUGCGAACGGGUGAGUAACGCGUAGGUAACCUGCCUGGUAGCGGGGGAUAACUAUUGGAAACGAUAGCUAAUACCGCAUAAUAUUGAUUAUUGCAUGAUAAUUGAUUGAAAGAUGCUAUUGCAUCACUACCAGAUGGACCUGCGUUGUAUUAGCUAGUAGGUGAGGUAACGGCUCACCUAGGCGACGAUACAUAGCCGACCGGGGAGGGUGGUCGGCCAGACUGGGACGGUGACACGGCCCAGACUCCUACGGGAGGCAGCAGUAGGGAAUCGUCGGCAAUGGACGAAAGUCUGACCGAGCAACGCCGCGUGAGUGAAGAAGGUUUUCGGAUCGUAAAGCUCUGUUGUAAGAGAAGAACGGGUGUGAGAGUGGAAAGUUCACACUGUGACGGUAUCUUACCAGAAAGGGACGGCUAACUACGUG
rnacentral:rRNA from 1 species